CCUACGGGGGGCAGCAGUGGGGAAUAUUGGACAAUGGGGGCAACCCUGAUCCAGCCAUGCCGCGUGUGUGAAGAAGGCCCUCGGGUUGUAAAGCACUUUCAGUGAGGAAGAACGCCUGGUGGUUAAUACCCAUCAGGAAAGACAUCACUCACAGAAGAAGCACUGGCUAACUCCGUGCCAGCAGCCGCGGUAAUACGGAGGGUGCGAGCGUUAAUCGGAAUUACUGGGCGUAAAGCGCGCGUAGGUGGCUUGAUAAGCCGGUUGUGAAAGCCCCGGGCUCAACCUGGGAACGGCAUCCGGAACUGUCAAGCUAGAGUGCAGGAGAGGAAGGUAGAAUUCCCGGUGUAGCGGUGAAAUGCGUAGAGAUCGGGAGGAAUACCAGUGGCGAAGGCGGCCUUCUGGACUGACACUGACACUGAGGUGCGAAAGCGUGGGUAGCAAACAGGAUUAGAUACCCUUGUAGUC
rnacentral:rRNA from 1 species